AAGUCGUAACAAGGUUUCCGUAGGUAUGUUGACAUCCACGCUCCUCAUUCAUGGAAACCAUCGCUAACAUCGCGUCCAGGUGAACCUGCGGAAGGAUCAUUACAGUGUUAGGCUUCGGCCUCAUUCACACCCCUUGUUGAACCUCUGGUUUCUUUGGCGAUGUCAUGGACUCNUCAAACUUUAACUCUGGGAAUGCGAUACUGUCCGAGUGCAAUCGAAUGAUUUAAAACUUUCAACAACGGAUCUCUUGGUUCCAGCAUCGAUGAAGAACGCANCGAAAUGCGAUAAAUAAUGUGAAUUGCAGAAUUCCGUGAAUCAUCGAGUUUUUGAACGCACAUUGCACUCCUUGGCAUUCCGAGGAGUACGCCUGUUCGAGCGUCAUUACACUCUCAAGCGCUGCUUGGAUUUGAAUCACUGCCGUGGCAGGAUUCCAAUAUCGUUGGCAAUUGACCAUCUGUGAUGACUCACUCCGAGUUGAUUCGCCGGAAACCCUUCUUUCAAGUUGACCUCGGAUCAGGCGGGGAUACCCGCUGAACUUA
rnacentral:rRNA from 1 species